UACGGAGGGUGCAAGCGUUAUCCGGAUUCACUGGGCUUAAAGCGUGUGUAGGCGGGUCGUUAAGUGCCUUGUGAAAUCCCAUGGCUCAACCAUGGAACUGCUGGGCAUACUGGCGAUCUUGUGCAACCUAGGGGCGAGCGGAACAGAUGGUGGAGCGGUGAAAUGCGUAGAUAUCAUCUGGAACGCCAAUGGUGAAAACAGCUCGCUGGGGGUUUGCAGACGCUGAGACACGAAAGCCAGGGGAGCGAACGGG
rnacentral:rRNA from 1 species